GUCAGGUUGCAAGACAGAAGCUGAAAUGCAGCAAAGGGAAGAGAUGCAGAGAUCUGCCAGACUGAAUGUCCAUCCUCUCUCCUGCAAAACUUGCCCAUCUGGCUUUUUCAAAUGUCCCUCAGUGCAUGGAUUUUGGGGGGGUGAAAAAGUCUGAACUGCCUAUCCUUGGGUCUGCAGGGUGCUGAAUUGCAGAUGGGUGACUCUGGGAACUCUGCUGCUCAGACAAAAGUGAAAACUGUGGAAUGCCUUUAAAUGGGCUGCUUGCUUGAGAGACAUAGUUAGCUCUGAGCUGUUUGCUUGUCCCAAGGAGUGGGUGGAACAAGGUGAGAAAAUGUGUGGAGGAAUAAAAGAGCCAAGGAAAGAGAAAAGCUGGUUUUAGGAGGCAACUGAGUAUCUUGGGUUGGGAAAUCAAGACAGAUUUGGGGAGUGUGGUGUAGAAUUUUAAGUAGCACAAUGGGUACAAGCAAAAACAAAAGAAAAUAGCAAUGUACUGCAGCUCCAGGAAAAGUUAUCUGUGAAGCUGGGCAAAUACUGGUUUAAAAAGGAGGCAGAAACCAAUAAAAUCAAGGGACCAUUUAUACAGGUGGGAAACAAAAUCACUAGGCUUUGUGGUUUUCUGUGACUUUUUUUUUUUUUUUCCUGUAAGAAAAUACAACUAAAAGAAGGUCUCAAAAGUUAUGCUGUUUCAGGGACACAGACAGAAGUAUCAUAUGAGCUGUUUCCUUUCACGUGAAAGGCUCUUACUUCCCAGAACUCAAAUGUGUAGGUUUCCUUACUUCAGGAUAUGGGGUGAAGAUUGCAGACACGGUCACCACAAGCCCCCAAAGCCAGAGUUUGUUCAGCAUGUUAUCUUAAUUUUUUUUUAAAAUCUUUCUAAUUUCCUCCCUCCCCAGGGAGUAUCUACAUCCUUUCCUGAUCUGGCCAGGAAUCAGCUGAAGCACUACAGCCAUGGCUUGUACCCAAUGUUUUUGUAACAGCUCUAGGUGUGUUCUCUGGCUGUAAGGCAAUGAUGAGAAUAAGCAAGGGAAAUAAAGGAGAUCUUGGCUGUGAUACCACACUGUGGUGGCUCCUCUGAUAGCUGGAAGGCUCUGGACAUCAACAGGCUGAGACUCACAGGCACAGGCGUGUCUUGGUGAAAACAAGUUUUCUUCUCCAUUUAUGUUCAGUGGCUUUCUGAUGAAUGGUGGGCUCAUGGACCCUUGGCAUAUGGUGGUGUGUCCAAAUGAGUACCAAAAAUAGAAGAAGAGAAAAUUCCCUCCUCAGCACUGCUUUUCAGGAGUGGAUAGACUUGCUUAAGUCUAAGGCAGCUUCUCCACUCCCGCACCAAGGCGUCUCUUACAUCAGUACCCAUUUAAUAUUUACAUAGCCGCUAAAUCCUAAAAAUUCUUUUCCCUUUGCUGCUGUCCUUGAAAGUAGAGAUAUUGAGUUUCAAGCCUGGAGAAAGUAGGUGUUUUCAAAACAUCUGUUCUGGCUGACAGUGUCAUAAAUGACACAGGCAGAGAUGUCAGUCGCUGCUCUGAGAGGAAUGGAGGAGAAUUCCAUCUCUCCUGUGCCUCUUUUUCCUUUCCCAUGCAACACUGAGCCAUGAAACUGCUCCCUGAGAGAAGUGACUGGAGUCCUAUUGCUUGCAGUUUUGAAAAAACUGAACUGUGGAAAGAGAUAAGAGACUGAAAAGAAGGAAGGACAAAAUAUUCCAGCUUUCCCCAACAGUUAAGUAAGCUGGUAGAUCGCUUUCAUGUUGGAGGCUCGGGUUUACAUGGACCCAAUCUGACAGCUCUUUCCAAACUAAAGGAAUGACCAUUGGUUCCUCCUCCCUUCUGUUAGCCCCACAAUUUUAGCAUCUCUGCAAGGGGAAGAGGCAUCACAAAUCUAACCAUUGCUUCCCCACGCUGUCAGGAGUCCUCCACAGGAACUGCUCUCCCUCCCAGCACAAGUGACUGAUCCCACUGCUGGAAACUGGAACAGUUGUUCUGAGGGGGAGUUUAACUGCAGAACUACUGGCAGCUUAGGACAAGGUCCCAGCAGGGAAGGGCUGAAAUACCUCUAAAGAAAAUCAUAGCUCUGGGCGGUCCAAAUGUCUUCUUGCAUGUUUUCUCUUGCUCUCUGCUGGCUUCCAACCUCUCCAGUCUUUGCUGCUUGAUACUCAGAGAACUGAGUUUCUGCAUUCCCUCCCUCUACUGAGCUCAGAGGACUGGUGAAGCAGUUUGAUUUCAGUGUGGUAGGUGAGAUCUGAUUUCUCCCUCCAUGCCCUCUUCUUUUUCUCCCUGUGCAGCUCCUGUCCUUGCAGUUCUCAGGACUUGACUAGCAGAGUUUUUAAAUGAAGUGCAAGUCUUAAUGUGAGGUGAAUCCCAAGACCACAAACAGUUUGGACUUCAAACAGUGAGAAAAUUGGCGCCGGAUGAUUCCGCACACAAAGCAGAAAACUUUCAUUUCCUGCAGGCAGGAUGGAAUUGACUGUUAUAUUAAGACUUCAGAAGGAGCACUGCCCCGGAGUAAUUUCACUGCUGUCAGGCAGUGUUGACAUCUAGAUUAACCUCUGUGCAGUGAAUUUUACAGCAACGCUCAUUGUAAUGCAUGUGGGGUAUCUCCUGUAAAUCCCAGCUGAAGCCCACAGUGUCCCACCCUUCUGCACAGGAGGAAGGGUUGGGGAGCAGCUGCUAUCAUUUCUGACCCCAGCAAAGCAUGACUCCAACCUCAUCCAGGCCACUUCUGCUGAAACUGAUUUUCUGCUGUGCUAAAGUGACAAUAGCUCCAGCCUGUAUUUUUUUUUUCUAAUUCCCCAAAGAGGUUUACAUCACAGGCUGAAAUUUUUGCCAGUGACAAACAGCUCCCUUCAUGUAUCCAGCCAGCAGUACAGUCCUAAUUAAAAGGCACUAGUUAACUAGAGGCAAUUAGCUGCUUGCACUGAUUAUUUCCAAGACAUACAAUCCCCAAACACAAAGCUCUGAUCAGAUGUGAUCUAAAUGGCAGACAAACUCCCAGCUGAUGUGAGAUGGUGGCAUCCAAUCCUACUCACCAGCACACAGGCACAAAAUGAGCCCUGCCUACCAAACCACAAUUGCAUGAAUUAAAGAAAUGCACAGAGUUAACUCAGUGCAAGCCAGAGGACAUUGCAAAAGAAGCCCCUUGGCUCCAGAAAUGAAUGCUGCUGCUGAUAAGUUGAAAGCAUAGGCCUGACCCCAAGUCCUUCUGUCUUUUGCUGUAGGAGGAGCUUGAGCAGUGGGAUUUCCUAGGCAGGACCGCAACAGCUUCUUCACUUUUGUGCUAGCAGAGACAAUCCUGUCUGUGGUUCUUAAGAUGCAUCUCUGAAAAUAACUUUGUGAAAAAAACCCCAAAAAACCCACACUAUCAUGUAAAAAAUAUAGAAAAGAAAGGGAAGGUUUCUUUGUAUAGUUUUGCCACACCUGCUUAUUCAUUCACUUAUUUUCCCACUCAGACAUUGCUCUGCAGUCAUCUGCAGGAGGUUCUAGGCGAGUGAAAAUCUAUCAGGUGCUGAAGAGAUCAACCACUAGCCCUAAGGGCAAAAUUCCAAUAGUACAUCUACAAAUAUCUUUCAGAGCCCAUCUCUCCUCUCACCCACAGCUCUUCACAGUAGCCUUGCCAUUAUAUUUGCCAAAGGUUUUGGACAGCCUGUGAAGAGGUGAGAUAUCUUCAGUUUCCCCUUAACUUCAGGAGGAAUUGUGACAUUUCUGUAAUUCGACCCAUCAGGAGGAUUCCUUCAAACUAACAUUUAUUACCUCCAAUCAGAAUACAGCUGAAAAGGCUACCCAAGGUUAUAGAAAAGGUCAAGCUCUUGCUUUGGACUGGAAUUUGCUUUGGAAGGAAUUUGAUGGACCAAUUUAACCACCACAGCACAUCAAAACCUGGUGGCUUCAUUUAAAAAGUAAUCAGUAUUGUAUUUCGCUUUAGACAUCCGUGCAUUAGUGUUCUGCAAAUAUGAUUUCCUCUUUGUUUGCAUUAUUGAUGCCAUAAAAUGUCAGACACAUUAAAGAAAAAAAAAAAGAGGCCAACCUUUGGGGUUUGGAAUGAUUCUAGCUGAAUUGCAGUUGGGUUACUUUCCUUUUUAUUUCCCAUGGCAGCGAUGCACUGUUACUCAUUCUGCUAUUGUUUUACAAAGAGUUCUCAGUAAGUGUAUUUAUUCAGCCAACCAUAUUUCAGGAAACACAUAACCUUGAUAUUUUUUCCUGUAUGUGGCAGCAUAUGUGAAUGUGUGUUGGGGAGAGGAGGGCAGGUGGAGCUUUUUACAAGAGCCCUCCCAUGUCUGGUAGUGUGUUGGCUUUGUGCAAUGCUCCAUGAAUCCCUCCUGCUCAGGUGCCUGGCUUGAUUUAACCUCAAGAACUGACUUUUGUAAUCAGGAUUUAAGGUCUUCCGGUUUAGCACUGCCCAGGAUCUGUCAUCUGCUCUCACCAUUCAGCAGCCAUCUGCUAUCCACAGAGGUUCCUAGAUGUCUAUGCCACAGAGAUUACACAGUAAUUGAGUCUCAGGCAUGCGAUACAGGAGUUUUAGCUCAUUCUGAUCCUGGACCAACUGCAAGUUUGCUGAUUUAGCUUGGUUCCCACCCAAGGUUCACUGACUACAGUUCCCAAGACAAAUACUCUUAGCUGCUCAGUGCUGUUUCUCACACACCAUUACAAUACAAGCCUUGGCGGCUGUAGCUCUCUGCCUCACCUCUCUGUAAUGAAUGCAGGUCCAUUUUUCAGUGAUCCUGGAAAUUUUUUGAAGGAUAUUCUCCCUCCUAAAAUCUAAGACAUUCUCAAAUAUUCUGUCUUCUUGAAAAGUGAAGAAAUAAGGUGGAAAUAUUCCCCCUGUGUAGAUAUUUUCAUCAGUGGUAAAAUUUCAGCUUUUCCUCUCAAUGACAGCAGGACUUGGGUGCAGGAGAAGAAUACAGUGGAGCAGUCUAAGGAAGGGUCUCAGCUAGGACUGCAAAGUCAUCUGUUCACCUACUGAGCCAUCACCUCCUCAUACAGGAAGAUAUCCCCAGCUUUUUUUGAGCUUCAGAUUCCUGCCCAGCUCUCUUGCUCCUACUCCAGUGCUGAGGAAUGACCUUCAGAUGACCUUCAGAUUUCCUUAUCUUCACAGAUCCUUCCCAGGACUAUCCAAACAGCCCAAAGAAGUGAUGACAGGGUCUGAAUGGGUGUGUAAUUCAGUGUCUUUCUCUCCCUUUUUCAUCAGGGCAGAGAUAGUGAAAGUGGCAGAACAGAAAUAUUAUUUUCCCCAACAGCAGUGAUCCAGUUUCUUUUUAAACUCCGAUUUUUAAGAUGCCAUACAGCAGUACCUAUAAAUAUGCCUUGAUAUGUUGAAUGAGCACACGAGUAUAUUUGAUUUUGUUUUUAUGCCUAUAAUUUCUCUCACCAAGAAUUCAGCCGUUACUCAGCUCCCAGCAGGUUGUUCUGAUUGCUGGAGAGAUGGUUGGGAUUGAUUCCGGCUGUGACCUGUUCCAGUCCGGCCUCAUUCUUAUGUAGCUAGAUUGAAACAAUAGAAAUCAGCAAGAGACUGAAUUGUUGUUCCUGUGCAACUGAACCUUCUUGUGCAACUCCAGGCUAAAUGUAGCAGGCGUUGAUGACCCACAACUUUGAAGUCAGUAAAGCUGUAGAUACUGAGAGGCACUGUUAGGAACAGAACGGCAGGAGAGAGAGAAAUGCUACAAGAGGAAAAAAAACCCAACCAACAAACAUUACAUCAGAAAAGACAGUGGUUGAUUUAUAAUAUAAGAAAAUCCACUGCUGUACAUGAGAAAAGACACAGAAUAUUCACCCUGGUAACCAAGAACAUUGGCCACUAGGACAAGAGCAGCUCAAACCUCCUCUCACUUUUAAUUUCCUUUUUCUCCUUCUCCUGCUAAUACAGAACAAAUCCUGGCUUAUGGCCUUCCUGGAGACUGAAAUUAAGAGGCAGAUUUAGGAGAGGUGGAGAGAGACUGGAUCCUGCUGGAUGAUGCAACAGCUUUAUAGCCCAGCACCUCUCAGCAGCAAGUGCCUGGUGUGCCCUUGCUUUUAUUUAUUUUUUUAAUUACAACCCCUAAUUGCUUCAAGUAGUGUUCACAAAGAGCCUACAACAGUUCAGUCCCCAGACUCCUGGUAAGACGGAGAUUUCAGCAGACGGACAGACGGACAGCCGCGUCCCUGCGGAUCAGCACCGCGGACAGCGGCACCGCCCGCUCCGGCCGCCGCCGCGGGAGGAGCCGCGCCUUCCAUGGAGGAAUCCCACUUUGGAUGGAGUCAUGCCCACACUGCCCGCGGAACUGCUGUCUCACCCACAGUUCGUUUCUCCCAUGUGUUUUUCUAGUGUGAAAUCAUUAUAUGGUAUCUUGUUUUCAGGUGGUGGAGGAGGGAUGGUUUAAAACAGAAACCAAUCAUUCCAAUGCAAGAGAGAACCAGUUUUUCCUUCAGAGUUAAACUCUCUGCCCCACUUUUUCCUGCACUGGUGUUCCACCUACGAAGGCUCCAACUCUAGUUUGGACUGUGGAAGGUUCUUAUCUUCUCAUCCAUUGAGACAGUUUGACAAAUGGAGAGAUACUAUGCUGGUAGCUCUUUAGAAACAGAAUCCUUAUUUUAUUGGAAGCAUCAUGUGAUUCAGAUUUCAUCCAUCAAUUGCACUUACUGUUUGUAAAGGGCAAACAGACAAAUCUCUUGGCAAAUUGCAAGUAAGGGACAUAUAAAUGACAC
ensembl:lncRNA